rnacentral:rRNA from 1 species
GACGAACGCUGGCGGCGUGCUUAACACAUGCAAGUCGAACGGAAAGGCCCUGCUCUUGUGGGGUGCUCGAGUGGCGAACGGGUGAGUAACACGUGAGUAACCUGCCCUUGACUUUGGGAUAACUUCAGGAAACUGGGGCUAAUACCGGAUAGGAGCUCCUGCUGCAUGGUGGGGGUUGGAAAGUUUCGGCGGUUGGGGAUGGACUCGCGGGUUAUCAGCUUGUUGGUGGGGUAGUGGCUUAUCAAGGCUGCGAUGGCUAGCCGACCUGAGAGGGUGGUCGGCGACAGGGGAAGUGGCAGACCGCACUGAGUCUGAGGGGCGGCCCAAGCUCCGAAGGGUGGCAGAUGGGGGGAAUCUUGAACAAGCGGCGGAGGCCGAGUGCAGCAGGUCCGUGGGCGGGAAGACGGUGUUAGGGUUGAAGAACGCUUUCGCUCGUAACGAAGCUUUGUGUGACGGUAGUGGGUAAAGAAGCACCGGCUAACUACGUG